CCAGAGGUAACACACACACAGAGACACACACACAGAGAGACAGAACAGACUGGGGCCAGGUGGACUGGACCCUGUGGAGGUCUACGACACUCUGCCAGAGGUAACACACACAGAGAGACAGAACAGACUGGGGCCAGGUGGACUGGACCCUGUGGAGGUCUACGACACUCUGCCAGAGGUAACACACACAGAGAGACACACACA